AAGUCGUAACAAGGUCUCCGUUGGUGAACCAGCGGAGGGAUCAUUACAGAGUUAUCUAACUCCCAAACCCAUGUGAACUUACCAAUGUUGCCUCGGCAGAACCUACCGGUACCAACCCUGGAACGGCUACCCUGUAGCUACCCUGGAACGGUUACCCUGUAACGCUCUGCCGGCGGACUAUUAAAUUCUUGUUAUUUUAUUGUAAUCUGAGCGUCUUAUAUUAAUAAGUCAAAA
rnacentral:misc_RNA from 1 species